AGCAGCCGCGGUAAUUCCAGCUCCAAUAGCGUAUAUUAAAGUUGUUGCAGUUAAAAAGCUCGUAGUUGAAUUUCGAGAUCAAAUUGUUGGUCGUGCCUCGGUACGUACUGGCAUUAUUGAUUUCUCCCUUCUGAAGAACCACGAUGUCAUUAAUUUGGUGUCGUGGGGAAUCAGGACUGUUACUUUGAAAAAAUUAGAGUGUUUAAAGCAGGCUCACGCUUGAAUACAUUAGCAUGGAAUAAUGAAAUAGGACGUUUGAUUCUAUUUUGUUGGUUUUCUAGGAUCGACGUAAUGAUUAAUAGGGAUAGUUGGGGGCAUUAGUAUUCAAUUGUCAGAGGUGAAAUUCUUGGAUUUAUUGAAGACUAACUACUGCGAAAGCAUUUGCCAAGGAUGUUUUCAUUAAUCAAGAACGAAAGUUAGGGGAUCGAAGACGAUCAGAUACCGUCGUAGUCUUAACCAUAAACUAUGCCGACUAGGGAUCGGAUGAUGUUAAUUUUUUAAUGACUCAUUCGGCG
rnacentral:rRNA from 1 species